rnacentral:misc_RNA from 1 species
UACGAAGGGUGCGAGCGUUGUUCGGAAUUAUUGGGCGUAAAGCGCACGUAGGCGGUCAGGUAAGUCUGUCUGUGAAAGCCUGGGGCUCAACCCCAUGGACUGCAGGGGAUACUGCCUGACUAGAGACAAGCAGAGGUUGGUAGAAUUCCGGGUGUAGCGGUGGAAUGCGUAGAGAUCCGGAGGAAUACCAGAGGCGAAGGCGGCCAACUGGGCUUGUUCUGACGCUGAGGUGCGAAAGCGUGGGGAGCGAACAGG